AGGCAAGACUACCCGCUGAACUUAAGCAUAUCAUUAAGCGGAGGAAAAGAAACUAACCAGGAUUCCCUUAGUAACGGCGAGCGAACAGGGAGGAGCCCAACCACAUAUCGCUCGAAUGCGGGGAGCGUUCGCGUUCGGUGCAGUUUGGGGUUAUGGGGGAGGAAGUGGAUGUGGGUUUGCGAAACGAUAGAAGCCUUCGGGUGAAGCGAGCAGCCUUGUGCAAUGGAGUAAUCCACCAGAGAGGGUGACAGUCCCGUAACCCGCACAGUGCUCCAGUUUUCGUUGUAUGAACUUACGGGUUUAUACCCACUUCACGUCCCCCGAGAGUCGAGUUGCUUGAGAGUGCAGCUUGAAGAGGGUGGUACGCCCCAUCUAAGGCUAAAUAUCUACGAGAGACCGAUAGCGAACAAGUACCGUGAGGGAAAGAUGAAAAGAACUUUGGAAAGAGAGUUAAAAAGUACCUGAAAUUGCUAAGGGGAAAGUGAUGGAAAGUAACAUUGGUCCUU
rnacentral:rRNA from 1 species